UAGGUAAGUGCUCACAAACCACAAAGUCGUUAAUUAGACUGACACACGACUCUUCCAGAAUGCACAUGGUAUGUUGUUACUGCACCUACAAACCACCGGCAGCCAGACUCUGCCAGGGCAUCACAACUGCAUCUGAGCAUUAUGUAAGGCCUUGGCAGCCCGUGCAGGGCUCAGAGCAUUGCCAUCAGGUGUGCGUGUUCUUUCUAAUCCUCCCCACCGGCCUUCCCAACAUGCUUCCCAGAUAAAUCAAGCCUGCUGGGAAGCAGCUCCCUCAUACUUGGUAGGAGGCUCGGUCUCCAGAGCUUGGACUUUUCUUUUGAAAUCCAAAUUCUUCUUGGUAAUCAUCUAGAGAAAGCUGCCAAGGUGUACUUCCUGACAGCUGGGGCUCCAGAGAGUGAUGUCUCCAUAUCCUGUAGCUGACAGGGACAGGGCAGGUCUGGUUCUGGCCUGGGCAUGGCUGCAGCUUUGCAGGACCUGGGGACACCACCACUGCCAUGAAAAAUUCUGCACACCUGAAGUCCAUGGGUUGGCAGCUUUGAAAAAGGACCUGCAGACAGGUCCUCAUCAGAAGGCAAGAAGAGAGGGAGAAGCAGAGCAGUGUAAGCAUGGUCGUUGUGACAUCUGUGUUUCUCCUUUAUCUGGUCUUUUAGAGCCAGAUGUGAGCAGGACCCAGGCACAGAGAGCUCCUGCUCCUGAUACAGAGGGAAGCUGGAGCCCUGUGUUCAGACUGCCACAAAGCCAGAGGUGAAAGGCAGGGGAGUGCAUGUGCAAUCCCAGGCUUUCCUGGAGUUGAGGCACUCUGGAGCAGAGUCCUCAUGCUCUGACUGUGCCCCCAGCUCUGGUCACUCUGGACAGGGCACUCCUACUUCAACAUGCAUCAGCACCUGAUAAAAACGAGGAAUGGCUUUCCUUCUUCCCUCUGACUGACAGCAUUUGUUGAAGUUUCUUCCUGCCUGGCCUCCCUCUCCUCGAGCACACAGGUAAAGCUGAUCUCCUGCUGUCAGGGACUCCCAGACUCCUGCAGAUUUCCAGCUGGUUCCUCACCUCAGUGCAUGCACCCUACAGAGCCUGCAGGAGCUGCCUGCACUGCCCAGCACUCUCAGCCAGCAAGCAGAGGGACCUCAGGACAGGUCUGGAUACCCCUCCUGCCUGGGAGCCAGGCUUGGGCUGCAGCAGUGCCACAAAGGGACCCUGCAGCUCAAUCCCAAAGCUUGGGUGAUGUGUCCUGUCUCAUCCUCCCUAAAUGCCAGAAGCCCAGACAGCUGCCACAUUUGGAGACAGCUGGAGUUCAUGGACACAGUUUUUUGCUACAUUUCAAAUAUGCCUUUGUGCUGUGCAGGCAUUGAAUGCCAGCCUCUCUCUGUCCCACAGUGGCUAGAACAUCCCUUUCUGUCCCAUUUUUCUGGUCACCUCAUCUCUUGAACUGACUGGCAAGUUCUUCUGAUAGAACUUAGCUGAAAACAAUUGUUCUCAGUCUCCACUUAGUUUUGCCAUUUCUGUUGUAAUCCUGAGAAAAGACUUGGUCAUUGAGAAGUCUGCCUUUCCUCUCCUGGGUCAGUUUGUCCCUGAGGGAUGCACACUUUCCCUUCAAAUCCUGCCUGAAUCCCAGAACGACAAACAUGGACACCAAAUGUAAACACCUGAAAGAGCAAGAAAAUAACCAACACACAAUCCCUUUCUGUCUGGUACUGGUUCCACCCCACUCCUGUGGGCUCCCAUUUUCACCCCCUUCCCAGCUGUGCUGCUUGCUUAGGCUGUGUAGCCAAUAUGCAGAGAGUUAAUAUUUCACCAAGUGCCAUACAGGUCUGGUAACUCAUGGCCUGUCAUGAUGUGCCAUAAAGCCACUUCCCCUUCUGAAUGGAAAAAAGGAGUCUCUGAGCAGCACAAACACACUGGGGCUCAGAUGGCCUGACUGGUAA